rnacentral:rRNA from 1 species
UACGGGGGGAGCAAGCGUUGUUCGGAUUUACUGGGCGUAAAGGGCGCGUAGGCGGUCAGCACAAGUCAGUUGUGAAAUCUCCGGGCUUAACUCGGAAAGGUCAACUGAUACUGUGCGACUAGAGUGCGGAAGGGGCAACUGGAAUUCUCGGUGUAGCGGUGAAAUGCGUAGAUAUCGAGAGGAACACCAGAGGCGAAGGCGGCUACCUGGACAAUUGCUGACGCUCAGGCACGAAAGCGUGGGGAGCAAAAGGG